rnacentral:rRNA from 1 species
ACGGGUGAGGAAUACAUCGGAAUCCGCCUAUUUGUGGGGGAUAACGUAGGGAAACUUACGCUAAUACCGCAUACGACCUACGGGUGAAAGCGGAGGACCUUCGGGCUUCGCGCAGAUAGAUGAGCCGAUGUCGGAUUAGCUAGUUGGCGGGGUAAAGGCCCACCAAGGCGACGAUCCGUAGCUGGUCUGAGAGGAUGAUCAGCCACACUGGAACUGAGACACGGUCCAGACUCCUACGGGAGGCAGCAGUGGGGAAUAUUGGACAAUGGGCGCAAGCCUGAUCCAGCCAUGCCGCGUGGGUGAAGAAGGCCUUCGGGUUGUAAAGCCCUUUUGUUGGGAAAGAAAAGCAGUCGGUUAAUACCCGGCUGUCAUGACGGUACCCAAAGAAUAAGCACCGGCUAACUUCGUGCCAGCAGCCGCGGUAAUACGAAGGGUGCAAGCGUUACUCGGAAUUACUGGGCGUAAAGCGUGCGUAGGUGGUGGUUUAAGUCAGAUGUGAAAGCCCCGGGCUCAACCUGGGAACUGCAUUUGAUACUGGAUCACUAGAGUGCGGUAAAGGAUAGCGGAAUUCCCGGUGUA